GACGUAGGGCGCGAGCGUUGUCCGGAUUUAUUGGGCGUAAAGAGCUCGUAGGCGGUUUGUCGCGUCGACUGUGAAAACCCACGGCUCAACCGUGGGCUUGCAGUCGAUACGGGCAGGCUAGAGUUCGGUAGGGGAGACUGGAAUUCCUGGUGUAGCGGUGAAAUGCGCAGAUAUCAGGAGGAACACCGGUGGCGAAGGCGGGUCUCUGGGCCGAUACUGACGCUGAGGAGCGAAAGCGUGGGGAGCGAACAGG
rnacentral:rRNA from 1 species